UCCGAACUUUAUGACUUUUUGAUCAAGUUGCUUAAAUCUAACUCUCGACUAGAAGGCCCUAAAUUGCCUUGGUGCCCGAACCGUCUAUUGGACCGAUCGCCCAAUCUAUAGUCUUUUUUUCUUAUGAUUGAAUUUAUUGAAUAAGAAUUAAUUAUAUUUUUAAUAUAUCAAAUAGGUUUGAUAAAUUCAUCUAGCGAAGUUUGAAAGGUUAGGAUAGAAGAGGUAAGUAACACUGACACUUCUUACUUGUUUUCGAAUUACUGGAUGCUUU
rnacentral:lncRNA from 1 species